rnacentral:rRNA from 1 species
UCAGUAGCGGCGAGUGAGCGGCAAAAGCUCAGAUUUGAAAUCGCCUUUCGGGGCGAGUUGUAGAUUGCAGGUGGGAGAGUUUGUGGAGGCGCGUGCCGAAGUCCCUUGGAACAGGGCGCCAUUGAGGGUGAGAGCCCCGUGCGACGCGUGUCGAAGCUUUAACUCCCCUCUGACGAGUCGAGUUGUUUGGGAAUGCAGCUCUAAGUGGGUGGUAAAUUCCAUCUAAGGCUAAAUACUGGCGAGAGACCGAUAGCGAACAAGUACUGUGAAGGAAAGAUGAAAAGCACUUUGAAAAGAGAGUGAAACAGCACGUGAAAUUGUUGAAAGGGAAGGGUAUUGGGCUCGACAUGGGAAUUGCGCACCGCUGCUCCUUGUGGGCGGCGCUCUGGGCUUUUCCUGGGCCAGCAUCGGUUUUCGCCGCAGGAGAAGGGGCUGUGGAAUGUAGCUGCUUGCAGUGUUAUAGCCACUGGCCAGAUGCUGCGUGUGGGGACCGAGGGCUGCGACAUCUGUCUCGGAUGCUGGCACAACGGCGCAAUACCGCCCGUCUUGAAACACGGACCA